rnacentral:rRNA from 1 species
UACGUAGGGCGCAAGCGUUGUCCGGAAUUAUUGGGCGUAAAGAGCGUGUAGGCGGUCCGGUAAGUCCGCUGUGAAAGUCGGGGGCUCAACCCUCGAAUGCCGGUGGAUACUGUCGGGCUAGAGUGCGGAAGAGGCGAGUGGAAUUCCUGGUGUAGCAGUGAAAUGCGCAGAUAUCAGGAGGAACACCUAUUGCGAAGGCAGCUCGCUGGGACGUAACUGACGCUGAGACGCGAAAGCGUGGGGAGCAAACAGG